rnacentral:rRNA from 1 species
GAACCGUACGAACGUUUAUUCGGAAUCACUGGGCUUAAAGGGUGCGCAGGCGGCUUGUCAAGUUGGGUGUGAAAUCCCUCGGCUCAACCGAGGAAUUGCGCUCAAAACUGGCAGGCUUGAGGAAGACAGAGGUGAGCGGAACUCAGGGUGGAGCGGUGAAAUGCGUUGAUAUCCUGGGGAACACCAGUAGCGAAGGCGGCUCACUGGGUCUUUUCUGACGCUCAGGCACGAAAGCUAGGGGAGCGAACGGGGGAUUAGAUACCCCGGUAGUCCUAGCUGUAAACGAUGAGCACUGGGUUGGAGGGUCCCUCCAUAGCCUUCCCAGCCGUAGCGAAAGUGUUAAGUGCUCCGCCUGGGGAGUAUGGUCGCAAGGCUG